AUUGAACGCUGGCGGCAGGCUUAACACAUGCAAGUCGAGCGGAGAUGAGGUGCUUGCACCUUAUCUUAGCGGCGGACGGGUGAGUAAUGCUUAGGAAUCUGCCUAUUAGUGGGGGACAACAUUCCGAAAGGAAUGCUAAUACCGCAUACGUUCUACGGGAGAAAGCAGGGGAUCUUCGGACCUUGCGCUAAUAGAUGAGCCUAAGUCGGAUUAGCUAGUUGGUGGGGUAAAGGCCUACCAAGGCGACGAUCUGUAGCGGGUCUGAGAGGAUGAUCCGCCACACUGGGACUGAGACACGGCCCAGACUCCUACGGGAGGCAGCAGUGGGGAAUAUUGGACAAUGGGGGGACCCUGAUCCAGCCAUGCCGCGUGUGUGAAGAAGGCCUUAUGGUUGUAAAGCACUUUAAGCGAGGAGGAGGCUACUGAGACUAAUACUCUUGGAUAGUGGACGUUACUCGCAGAAUAAGCACCGGCUAACUCUGUGCCAGCCGCCGCCGUAAGAC
rnacentral:rRNA from 1 species